rnacentral:lncRNA from 1 species
UAUUCAUUCUUCUGUGUAUGCAGGUAGAAUGGAGGGGAUACUUAACAGGCCUGGAUUUACUGGGAAGGCUGAAACGCCUGUGUGUAUUUCCUGCCUUUCCCUGGGUGGUAUUUACAAAUCAUGGUUCUCCAGCAGAGUGCCAUGGUCUCUCUCCAGCUGCUCAAAUCCGCAUACUCGGUUUGGGCAGCAGAGAGAAAACAAUGUACAAUGCGUUACAGCAAAUGGAAGAGUGAGAGAAUCUCUGCUGUGAUUGACAUCGGGGAGGGAUCAUCUCCCUCCACAGAGACUGUGGGUGACUCACUAUUAUCCUUCCCUGCGGGACAGCAAACACGUACAAUAAUAGAGCUCUGUGAGAGAAGAGACUUUCUGGCAAUGUGUUGCUUCUGUCAAGCCGCAGGAGUUUCAAAUUAUUGUAUGUAACAUUAUAGUAAGAUCUCUGAACUAGCAAAACCUACUGGAAACAGAACUAUUCCAGUGAAAUAAUUCCCUGGACUGUAAGAAAAUUUUGUAGGGAUACAAUGUGACCAGAGAGAUUCAAUAUUUUAUGUAUUGAUUUUCUUUAAUAACAAUGGUAAUGUAAAGCAUGUAACUAUUUUUAUAAAGCUGUAUUAGAGCUGUAUUGAUUUCUUGUGAAGUCAUGCAUAAGAGCAGCAGUGUAUGACGCAUCACAGAGAAGGGAAGUUCAUUACACAGAACUUAGUUCUUGGUAAUCAUCUCAAUUAAGGGAGUGUGUUGUUUCUGAAGAUGCCAUUUUAGAGCUGUUUAUUGCAAUACGGCAGCCUACGCAAUAUAUGAAAACUUUCUGUGGUUUGUCUAUUUUAGAUACUGUUAGACUGCUGGUGGCAGAAAAAAGAUGAAGGAUUUUUCCUGAAAUCAUUUUGAUUUUAUACUAAUACAAAAUACCAGCGAUUUCAUAGUCUUGCUUUAGGAACAAAUAUUAAUUGUUUUCUUUUUAUUAGGAUAUAUCCUAAAGCAUAUUCUAUAUAAGUUGUGCAUUGUAAUGGAACUAAAAAGGUCCUUUAAAUUUCAACUCUUUCUGAACAGAUUUUCUUUUUCUUUUUCUUUUUUUUUUUUAAUAUUAGUUUACUUGAUGUGUGGCUUAGGAGAUUUAAUUACUUUAUUUUCAGUUUAAACAUUGCAGUAGGGAACAUUUCAUCCAACUUUAGCUAUCUAUAGUUAAGUAUUUAGUUUUUAGGUCAGUUAAGCCCCCUAAAUAAUCAAAAAUAAGAGAUAGGGACCUGCAGAGAACCUAUGUGUUGUAGGGUAAGUGGGAAGAAUUGCCCCUUGCAGCUCCCUGUCUUUUUAUUGACUGUAGGAGAGUCCAGAAAACUGCCUUAGGCAAGAUCCUAAGUUAAGGAAUGAAACCCUUCUCAGAUGUACAGAAAUCAUGGGAUUGGCUUAAAAAAUGCAGAUUUUUAAAAUAGUAAAUAUUUGGCUCUCUUUUUUUUGAGUGCAUAGGGUUCCUGUUUCAAAUGUUUCUCAGGAGUUUCAUGGGAUAGAAAAUUUUAAAAUGAAAACUGAGGUUUUUAAUAUCAUUGCCAAUGCUGGGGGCUAAUUUUUUUAGAAAGCUAUUAAAUAUCCUCUGAAUCAUGAUGAAAUUGUGAAGAUUGUCAGAACUGAUAACUAAAGACAGCUUUUUGUUUGACCACAUAAAUAUGAUACAUUAUUUUUGUCCAUGUUGCUACCAUUCUUUCUGAUACGAAUAUUGUUCUUAUUGCUGAUAGUAACCCAUUACUGGAGACCUUAUUAAGUUUAAAGGCACUUGGACUUGUCGUUUUUGUGACUGAUCCUGCAGGAAAAGAUCUCCUGUCAUGAAAAACUGCAGACUGCCUCUUCUGUAAUUCGAUUUUCGUUUGCUAGUUGGUUUUGGAUAUGUUUUUUUUUCGGUCGAGCCUUCUGUCAACCCCAGAAAGGGUCAGUUUUGCAACCUUUAAAAACUCAGCAGAACUGUUAUGGUACAAAUUGAGUGAACUUUUUUGUCAGGCUUGCUGUGUAAGAAUGUUGCUUGUUGUGAACUCGUGUCCAUUCAUAACAGAAUCUAAAGAGGAUUAGAUAAUAAAUAAGUACACUAAGCACA